UUGAACUUACUGUAGGUUCACGGAGUGAC
rnacentral:piRNA from 1 species